GACCUGUGGUAAGAUCUGAGACAGGUCCCUCUGGGUGUGCUGGGUGCUGCAAAGAGAGCAUGUCGAGGACAAGUCCUUUCUCUGAAGCGUUCCCAGUGGAAGUGGUGGACUUGGCAGACUGAUAAGUUUCAGUGACUACAGAUUUUCACCAGGGCUGUGAUUUAUGUGCUGAACAAUUUCAGCAACAGUACAACAAAGAAAUCUCAAAAGAUCUCAGUGACGAGGUCAUCUUCCUCAAACGAAUAUAUUCCACAAACUUUACCUUGGAUUGCAAGCCAAAGGAAUUGCUUCAAGAAAUACUCGAACUUGGACUCUCUGGGGUGUUUCCUAAUAUCACAAUUGCAUUGUGUGUUUUUGUCAGUUUGCCUGCAUCAGUGGCUUCAGCUGAACGCACCUUCAGCGUGUUGAAGCAGGUAAAGAACUAUCACUGUUCAACUA